UACGUAGGGUGCAAGCGUUAUCCGGAAUUAUUGGGCGUAAAGAGCUCGUAGGCGGUUUGUCACGUCUGCUGUGAAAACUGGAGGCUCAACCUCCAGCCUGCAGUGGGUACGGGCAGACUAGAGUGCGGUAGGGGAGAUUGGAAUUCCUGGUGUAGCGGUGGAAUGCGCAGAUAUCAGGAGGAACACCGAUGGCGAAGGCAGAUCUCUGGGCCGAUACUGACGCUGAGGAGCGAAAGCGUGGGUAGCAAACAGG
rnacentral:rRNA from 1 species